AUGCUAUUUACUCGGGUAACAAAGGAGACGAAUGUGCAUGUCAAGGUCAGCCUUGACGGCACCGGCUCUGCUGACUACAACACAGGGAUACCGUCCUUGGAUCACAUGCUUGAUCAACUGGCUUCUCAUGGACUGUUUGACGUAUAUGUGAAGGCGACGGGUGACACUCACAUUGAUGAUCAUCACUCAAAUGAAGAUAUUGCUUUGGCAAUUGGAACGGCGUUACUUCAAGCACUUGGAGAUCGAAAAGGAAUCAACCGGUUUGGGCAUUUUACAGCACCACUUGAUGAGGCAGUAAUUGAGGUUAUACUGGAUCUAUUUGGUCGACCUCAUUUGAGUUGCGGCUUAAGUGUUCCUACAACGCAGGUUGGCACAUAUGAUACACAGCUCGUUGAGCACUUCUUCCAGUCUCUUGUGAAUGCGUCUGGGAUGACGCUUCACAUCCGUUAGUAUUCCUAACACAACUCACACCAUAUUAUCGAGGCAUGUUUCAAAGCAUUUGCCAGGGCCCUAUGACAAAGAACAGAAUACGACUUGCGCCGACAUGGCACCGUUCCCGGGUUUGUCCUCAAUCACUGCGAAAUAUUGUUUGUUCAGGAAAAUUUGUAUAGUGCAUAUGGUCAUAGAUGUGUUAGAAACUAUUUCCUGCCACAAAAUUCUUUAAAAAUCAGAAACACUUGGCUGUUGGAUGAUUGCUGGUGA
rnacentral:rRNA from 1 species